GAUGAACGCUGGCGGCGUGCCUAAUACAUGCAAGUCGAGCGAACAGACGAGGAGUUUGCUCCUCUGACGUUAGCGGCGGACGGGAGAGUAACACGUGGAUAACCUACCUAUCAGACUGGGAUAAUUUCGGGAAACAGGAGCUAAUACCGGAUAAUAUAUUGAACCGCAUGGUUCAAUAGUGAAAGACGGUUUUGCUGUCACUUAUAGAUGGAUCCGCGCCGCAUUAGCUAGUUGGUAAGGUAACGGCUUACCAAGGCAACGAUGCGUAGCCGACCUGAGGGGGUGAUCGGCCACACUGGAACUGAGACACGGUCCAGACUCCUACGGUAGGCAGCAGUAGGGAAUCUUCCGCAAUGGGCGAAAGCCUGACGGAGCAACGCCGCGGGAGUGAUGAAGGUCUUCGGAUCGUAAAGCUCUGUUAUUAGGGAAGAACAAAUGUGUAAGUAACUAUGCACGUCUUGACGGUACCGAAUCAGAAAGCCACGGCUAACUACGUG
rnacentral:rRNA from 1 species